AAGCUAAAUCUUGGAGGUCAUUAAGCCACAACCUGACAGGUUUGCUGUGAAACUGCUGCAGUUCAGCAUCCUCCAACAGAGCUUCCAACAAAGUGUUAAUUGAUACACAAGGAUUCAAGACUUUGAUUUUGAAAUUUUGUUUUUGAUGUUGUAAUUUUUAUUUGUAUUUUUCAAUAUCAAUUUGACGUUGAAUUUUAUUGUAUGAUUAUAAUUCAUUGUAUUUUUUUUUUGUAUUGUACAAUAACAGUUUAAUAUAUUGAUAUAUUUCAUUGUCUUUUG